rnacentral:lncRNA from 1 species
AGACUAAAAUCCACGGAGUCGGGUUUGUGAAAAUCCAUGCCCCCUGGAACGUGCUGUGCAGAGAGGCCGAGUUUCUAAAACUGAAGAUGCCGACGAAGAAGAUGUACCACAUUAAUGAGACCCGUGGCCUCCUGAAAAAAAUCAACUCUGUGCUCCAGAAAAUCACAGAUCCCAUCCAGCCCAAAGUGGCUGAGCACAGGCCCCAGACCAUGAAGAGACUCUCCUAUCCCUUCUCCCGG